rnacentral:lncRNA from 1 species
AUGUACCAGAGGACACCACUGAAGUCCAGGAGAAUCUUCACCAAAGCCAUCAGCGUUUUCCUUGUAGCUUUCUGUCCCUCGAAGUGGAAAAUUGAGGUUUCUGAGAAGUCCACGGAGAGAACCUGCAGCAAACUGAAGCCACAGACUCCGGAGGCACAGGGAGAAAUAAUGCUUCCAUCCUCCUUUCACUUUAAACUUGAUCACUUCUGGGACUUCACUGGAGGGCGGUGGAGUUGCACCAGCCUGGAGUACAGGCAGAUCCCAGUCAUUUUUCUGAGGGCCAAUGGUGAUAAGUGUUGGUCUGCCUAUUUUCCUGGAAUAAUCCACGAUUUGGGGAAAGAAAGAGUAUUUUGCUAAUUUCAGAUCAUAAUAGUGAACUAAAAGAUCAAGGUCUGCUUGAUGAAAACUGGAACUAGCACUGAGAACCCAAUACAUUACCGGAUGGAAGUGGACAUUUAUUUUACUAAGAAAAAUGGGUUUUGAACCUAAUUUUUUGAAACAAAAAUACAAUGUGUUAUAUCCUAAAUAUAAUCUCUCAGCAGAGAGUUUUUGAGAGAGAUCAAAGGAAAAGAAUUAUUUCAGAGAUAAGCAUUGCUGUAGAGAAAGGACAAUUCUUAAUACUGAAAGUUAGAAGUAAAUUUUAUCUUUCAUCUCCAUUAAUAUUUUUUUCUUGCUUAUUUGCUUACACCUUGAUGUCAACUCCUCACAUUUGUCUGCUGCUCCUAUUUAGUUACCCAAGAGCUCCAAAAUGCACCAUGCUAUCGAGGACUAUCUAACCCAAAGAAGAAUUCUAUGCUAUUACAAUUCAAUUUCUACUUCUCACCAAAACUCCCAUUAAGGCAUAGUAGACAGAUCUAGUUGAGCUUUUAAUAAAAAAUAAAUUAUAUCAGACUAAUUUAAGCUAAAGUAUGAAUGACUAGCAGCCUACAUCAGGAAUAUGAAGCCACCUUAAUUUAUAAAAAGUAGACUUUCUAGCAAAGUAUGUUAAUACAUAUGGGAAGCAGGGCCACCUCAAUUAUUCUUACCUUGUAUACCAAACUGAAUGAUAAGCAUGGUACUAUAUUUUAUAUUUUCCCUUUUUGUGUUUUGAUAAUGCUGUUGAACAACUAUUCACACCUAGCUUUAGCCUUUGAAAGAAAUAUUUUUAAAUUUUACGUGUGUGUAUAGCUAGCAUUUCAAAAAGAUCUCCACUAAGUAGUGAAACUGUUUUCUAAAUGAAUCUAGUCGUAAAGCAAUUAUCUUAAAAAUAAAACAUCAGAAUAAUUGUUAUCAUGACUUGAUUUAGGAGUACAGGUAGGCACACCAAAUCAUAUUAGGUAGAAAUAAUAAGCUGUUUGAAUGUCUAUGGCAUUCAUUUUUUCAACUUACUUACGUUAAAAGCCUGAUUAAGAACUGUUGUCAUGCCAGACUCCUAUUAACACCAAUAGGGAUGACAUGUGACGUCGUGUCUGAGAGGCAGAAGGAGAGACCCAGAGUCAGUGAAUCAGACACAGAGUUUAUUGAGGAGUUAUAUACAGUUCGGGCCAGGAGUGGUGGGCUAGACAGGAAAACUGCUACUGUUUAUAAAAAGCAUUCAGGAUAUGUAGUGUUUUCAUUUAGGAAUCUCUAGCUAGCAACCUACGUUUUACCCGAAACAAACAUCCUCAGUCCCCUUUAUGGCCUGAGUUCCAAGGUAUGGGCAAGGGGUUCAGAAGUCCCCCAUAGUUAAGGAGUGAAUCUCUAGGUUGGCCACUGCUGAAUUUCUUAGGUCCGAACUCCAAACAAACCUUCUUCUUACACCAUAGGGACCUUCUCAGGGUAUGCUUGAGUUAUUGCUAUCAAGUGCAUCUGCCGUACAAUGACAUAACAAAUAUUUGGCUUUUUAGCUUUAGUUUGACAGGUUUUCUUUUUUUUAACUUGUUUUUUCUUUUAUUAUUUAUUUAUUCAUUCAUUCAUUCAUUUAUUGAGAUGGAGCUUUCACUCUGUCACCCAGGCUGGAGUGCAGUGGCACGAUCUCAGCUCACUGCAACCUCUGCCUCCCAGGGUCAAGCGAUUCUCCUGCCUCAGCCUCCCAAGUAGCUGGGAUUACAGGUGUCUGCCACCACACCCAGCUAACUUUUUGUAUUUUUAGUGGAGACUGGGUUUCACCAUGUUGGCCAGGCUGGUCUCAAAUUCCUGACCUCAGGUGAUCCACCCUCCUUGGCCUCCCGAAGUGCUGGGAUUACAGGCGUGAGCCACCGCACCCAGCUUUUAACUUUUAUUUUCAGUUCAGGAAUAUAUGUGCAGGUUUGUUACAUAGGUAAACUUGUGUUAUGGGGGUUCAUUGUACAGAUUACUUCAUAACCCAGGCCUUAAGCUUAGUACCCAUUAGUUAUUUUUCCCGAUCCUCUCCCUCCUCCCACCUUCCACUCUCACAAAGGCUCCAGUGUAUGUCGUUCUCCUCUAUGUGUCCAUGUGUUCUUAUCAUUUAGCUCCCACUUAUAAGUGAGAACAUGCAGUAUUUGGUUUCCUGUUCCUGUAUUGGUUUGCUACGGAUAAUGGCCUCCGGUGCCAAAUUAGAAAACUGAAUCUGUCUUCAAGGUUGAGGCAGAUUCAGCUUCUUAAUUAUUCAUCUUGAAAAUCUGUCCUUGAAUUUCAGGCAGGUGGCCACAAGUCGGCAGUAAUGUGACACUCUCACGUGGUUGUAACCACAUGGUUGGACUUUCUUACAAGCCCCCAUAGAUUUAGAAGGAAUAAUUAAUUUUAAUUUAUUUUAUUAAAGAUCUGUUUUAUUAAAAUAAAUGAUGUGUGGUAAGUUUUAUUUACAUGAAAUCAGAUCAUUUCUUUUGGAGCAAUCAUUUUUAACAAAUUUCUAAAACAUGAUUAGGUAAUUUGCCUUUUAACCUCUUCACUGGUUCUUUUUCUUUUCCCCUUUAAAUCACGGCCUGUUUAGAGAGAAGACUGAGUUACUGUUUUUUUUCUUUUUUUUUUUUUUUUUUUUACUGAUGUUUUGCUUCCAUAAUAUUCCUGGCCCUGUAACUGACUGCAGUCUUUUGGCUAGCUUGGUGUUAAAGUUCUUUUGGAUUUAUAUCUCAGCUCUUAGUGACUGUGACUUCUGUAAUGAAAGGGAAUCCUUUCUGCGACUGGUUAGCAUCAAACUUCUUUCUCCACAAAGGUCCUUUAUUUCUCUGCUUGCAGUUUUGUUCAUUCCAUGUAAAUUCUUUGAAUGCCUUGUUAUAGCACUAAGCACUGGAGAAAGAAGACUGACCAUAAUUUUCAUGGCCUCUGUCCCUCAUAAUAGAGCUUACUAUCUAGUAGAGGUUAAUAGACCAACAAAUUAGUUGUUACAUUAUGAUCUUGCUUUUAUUUUGCCAACUACAAUUUGUUAUCAAGCCCAAGUGUGUUCUUUUGUGAGACCUCUGGAACCACCUCCUAUUAACUCCAGUAAUAGCUUCUCUAUUGCACUUAGUUUCUGGUUUAUUUUUCCCACAUCCAUUCUAACUGCCUUGGGAGGUAGUCUGUGAAACGUCUGUAUGAAGUCUUUUACUGCAGUACCAGGUAUAGCCCAGGGUAUUACUAAACAAAGUUUUGGAAUGAAACAAACCUGGGUUUGAGUCAUGGUUCUGAGAUUCACCGUGUUACUUUUGUAAAUUAUUUACUCACCUGAAUCUUCAAGUUUUAAUGCAUGUCAAAUAGAAGGGAGAAUAUUUAUAUUUAGGGUUGAUUGACAGUUAUUAAUGACUACCUGUAUAUAAACUACCCAGCAGAAGUAGGUAAUCCAUAGAUAACAUUUCUGUUCCCUGUCAUUAGUCUAUCUUAAAUUGUGUAUGAAUGUCUAAUAUCAUAUUAAAGCAUUGUACCGAUAACCCAGUUUCUCAAAAUAAACUACUUUUUAAUCAAGAAAAUCUGCUCAUAAAAACUUCUUGAGAUAAAAUCCUUGAGAAGACACCUAAAAUAUUCUACUGAUGUUUUUAUUUUCCCUCAUAUUAUAUAUAUUAUGUAAUAUAUGUUAUCCAUUAUAUAUAAUACAUAUACCAAAUUAUAUAUUAAUUCAAACAUGAAAUUUAAGCGAAAUUUUCAAUAUCCAACUUGUUCUCCUCAGAUGCCAUUUGUUCUCAAAAUGCUUUUUAGAAGUUUUGUACCUUAAAUUAUCUCCCCUUUAAAAGGGCUAGUUUUAGAAUGAAGUAAUCAAAGAAGUUUCCUUGGAUUUUAUACAGCUGGUCUUUGGCUUUCAGACUAGUUUCUCUCUCUCUCUCUCUCUAUAGGUAUAUAUACACACUCUCUCUGUCUCUCUCUCUAUAUAUAUAUGUAUAUAUCAAGUCCAAGUUUGUUCUUUUUUGAGACCUCUGGAACUACCUCCUAUUUACAUAUACACACAAAGAAUCUCCAUCAUUAGGUAUUUAAAACUCAUCAGAGGGAAAAAUAUUACACUAAUUGUUACAAAUAUUAAGAAAUUUGUUGAAAAUAAAAAUAGGGUAAUAUGAAAAUAAACAUAGAAAUAUUAAAUAUAGAUUUUAAAUUAUUUACCAUCCGUUUAUUAAAAUAAUCA